rnacentral:rRNA from 1 species
GACGAACGCUGGCGGCGUGCCUAAUACAUGCAAGUUGAGCGAUGAAGCUUGGUGCUUGCCCCAAUUUGAAGAGCAGCGAACGGGUGAGUAACGCGUGGGGAAUCUGCCUUUGAGCGGGGGACAACAUUUGGAAACGAAUGCUAAUACCGCAUAACAACUUUAAACAUAAGUUUUAAGUUUGAAAGAUGCAAUUGCAUCACUCAAAGAUGAUCCCGCGUUGUAUUAGCUAGUUGGUGAGGUAAAGGCUCACCAAGGCGAUGAUACAUAGCCGACCUGAGAGGGUGAUCGGCCACAUUGGGACUGAGACACGGCCCAAACUCCUACGGGAGGCAGCAGGAGGGAAUCUUCGGCAAUGGACGAAAGUCUGACCGAGCAACGCCGCGUGAGUGAAGAAGGGUUUCGGAUCGUAAAACUCUGUUGGUAGAGAAGAACGUUGGUGAGAGUGGAAAGCUCAUCAAGUGACGGUAACUACUCAGAAAGGGACGGCUAACUACGUG